rnacentral:rRNA from 1 species
UACGUAGGGUGCGAGCGUUGUCCGGAAUUAUUGGGCGUAAAGAGCUCGUAGGCGGCUUGGCAAGUCGGGUGUGAAAACUCCAGCUCAACCUGGAGACGCCACCCGAUACUGCCAUGGCUAGAGUCCGGUAGGGGACCACGGAAUUCCUGGUGUGAGCGGUGAAAUGACGCAGAUAUCAGGAGGAACACCGGUGGCGAAGGCGGUGGUCUGGGCCGGAACUGACGCUGAGGAGCGAAAGCGUGGGGAGCGAACAGG